rnacentral:rRNA from 42 species
UCGACCUGAGCUCAGGCAAGA